rnacentral:rRNA from 1 species
AUUGAACGCUGGCGGCAUGCUUUACACAUGCGAGUCGAACGGUAACAGGCCUUCGGGUGCUGACGAGUGGCGCACGGGUGAGUAUUGCAUCGGAACGUACCCAGAGGUGGGGGAUAACGCAGCGAAAGCUGUGCUAAUACCGCAUGUGAUCUGAGGAUGAAAGCGGGGGACCGAGCAGCAAUGUUUGGCCUCGCGCCUUUGGAGCGGCCGAUGUCGGAUUAGCUAGUUGGUGGGGUAAAGGCCUACCAAGGCGACGAUCCGUAGCUGGUCUGAGAGGACGACCAGCCACACUGGGACUGAGACACGGCCCAGACUCCUACGGGAGGCAGCAGUGGGGAAUUUUGGACAAUGGGCGCAAGCCUGAUCCAGCAAUGCCGCGUGCGGGAAGAAGGCCUUCGGGUUGUAAACCGCUUUUGGCAGGAACGAAACGGUGUCCGCUAAUACCGGGCGCUAAUGACGGUACCUGCAGAAUAAGCACCGGCUAACUACGUG